rnacentral:rRNA from 1 species
GGAGGCAGCAGCGGGGACUUUGGACAAUGGGGGCAACCCUGAUCCAUGUCUCUAUGCCGCGUGAGUGAAGAAGGCCUUCGGGUUGUAAAGCUCUUUCAGCCGGGAAGAAAACGCAUGGGUUAAUACCCUGUGUGGAUGACGGUACCGGAAUAAGAAGCACCGGCUAACUACGUGCCAGCAGCCGCGGUAAUACGUAGGGUGCGAGCGUUAAUCGGAAUUACUGGGCGUAAAGCGUGCGCAGGCGGUUUGUUAAGAUAGGCGUGAAAUCCCCGGGCUCAACCUGGGAACUGCGUUUAUGACUGGCAGGCUAGAGUAUGGCAGAGGGGGGUGGAAUUCCACGUGUAGCAGUGAAAUGCGUAGAGAUGUGGAGGAACACCGAUGGCGAAGGCAGCCCCCUGGGCCAAUACUGACGCUCAUGCACGAAAGCGUGGGUAGCAAACAGGAUUAGAUACCCUGGUAGUCCACGCCCUAAACGAUGUCACUAGGUGUUGGGAGGGUAAAACCUUUUAGUACCGGAGCUAACGCGUGAAGUUGACCGCCUGGGGAGUACGGCCGCAAGGUUAAAACUCAAAGGAAUUGACGGGGACCCGCACAAGCGGUGGAUGAUGUGGAUUAAUUCGAUGCAACGCGAAAAACCUUACCUACCCUUGACAUGUCCGGAAGCCCUUAGAGAUUUGGGUGUGCUCGAAAGAGAGCCGGAACACAGGUGCUGCAUGGCUGUCGUCAGCUCGUGUCGUGAGAUGUUGGGUUAAGUCCCGCAACGAGCGCAACCCUUGUCGUUAAUUGCCAUCAUUCAGUUGGGCACUUUAACGAGACUGCCGGUGACAAACCGGAGGAAGGUGGGGAUGACGUCAAGUCCUCAUGGCCCUUAUGGGUAGGGCUUCACACGUCAUACAAUGGUCGAUAGGAAAGGGUUGCCAACCCGCGAGGGGGAGCUAAUCCCUUUAAUGCCAUAUG